ACUAGCUUGGUGAUCUUUUAAAGAAGGUUCCGGGUGUUGCGUAGGAGCAGCAGCUGGCUCAACUGGUGGAGCAGGUGGAGUUUCAACAACUUGAUCAGAUUCUAGAACCUUUUCACCUUCCUUUGGUAACUCACUUUCAGCUUCUACAACCUUGUUACCAUCAAGUUCAGUAGGUACAUCAGCUGUAGGACCAAUUUCAGGUUCAAGAACCUGGUCACUAGCAUGCUCAUCAUGGGCAUCCACUACAGGUUCAAGUUCAGCUUCAGCAACUUGACCACUUUCACAUGCCAUAUCAGCAGGAGACUCUUCAACUUUGUUGCUCUCUUCUUUAUCAGCAGAAACCUGAGUAGCAGCCUCAACUUUAGUU
rnacentral:misc_RNA from 1 species